CUUACAUGGAGAACAUCAAUAGUUAGCUGCUCAGAGUUCCGAGAUCUCAACUCCUGCAUUCGUUUGUUAUUUUCUUCAUAUUUUUCUUCUGCAAGCUUUCUGUAGAUUUAAAGUGAGUGUAGAAAAAACAGCUGCAUUUUGCUAAAGCCACAUCUAUACUAUGCAGCAAAUUCCUUUGGAGUCCUGUGAAGUGGCCAGAGCCCAAGGUACCCUAAGGAAAGGCAACUUACUUCAGCUUCCUGGCCUUCUCAUCAGCUGCCUGGAGCUUCCUCAGCCGCAUCCUUUCUCUUGGUGUCAUUUUCUGCACUUCAGACAGCGCCCGCAGAGUCUGCAGAGUCAUCUCCGAAUAUCUACACAUCAGGUGCUAAAAUAGAGAACAACCCUGAUGCACCUUAAAUACUCCUCUUCAGGCAUGAAAGGGCAUAAAACUACCAGGGGUCUUUUCUGAUGUGCAGCAUUAAUGACCAUGCCUGGGAGCUUGAAAAUAAAACCCACCGUGUUCCUGAUAAUGUAUGAUUACUUUUUCUUGGGUACUGGGUCCUCUUCCCAGCAAUCAAAUUGCAAAAGACGGAAGCCAUAGGCCUUCCUUUCAGCACCUUCAGCAUCAGCACUGCGCCCA